GAUGAAGAACGUAGCGAAAUGCGAUAAGUAAUGUGAAUUGCAGAAUUCAGUGAAUCAUCGAGUUUUUGAACGCAUAUUGUGCCCUCUGGUAUUCCGGGGGGCAUGCCUGUUCGAGCGUCAUUAAAUAACCCUCAAGCAUAGCUUGGUGUUGGGCUUUUUUACGUCCUUGACUGGGAUGGGCCUAAAAAUUAGUGGCGAUGGCUUUUUUACUUUCAAGCGUAGUAAAUCUCGUCUUGCUAAAGAGGAAAAAGAUUUUUUUUCUGCCAAAAAUUUUAACAUUUAAAGUUGACCUCGGAUCAGGUAGGAUUACCCGCUGAACUUAAGCAUAUCAAUAAGCGGAGGA
rnacentral:misc_RNA from 1 species